UGCGGUGAGGGGCGGAGCUGGAACCUCGG
rnacentral:piRNA from 1 species